rnacentral:rRNA from 1 species
GCGGCGGACGGGUGAGUAACGCGUGGGUAACCUGCCCUAUACACAUGGAUAACAUACUGAAAAGUUUACUAAUACAUGAUAAUAUAUAUUUACGGCAUCGUAGAUAUAUCAAAGUGUUAGCGGUAUAGGAUGGACCCGCGUCUGAUUAGCUAGUUGGUGAGAUAACUGCCCACCAAGGCGACGAUCAGUAGCCGACCUGAGAGGGUGAUCGGCCACAUUGGAACUGAGACACGGUCCAAACUCCUACGGGAGGCAGCAGUGGGGAAUCAUUGCCAAUGGGCGCAAGCCUGAUGCAGCAACGCCGCGUGAACGAUGAAGGUCUUCGGAUCGUACAGUUCUGUUGCAGGGGAAGAUAAUGACGGUACCCUGUGAGUGAAGCCCCGGCUAACUACGUGCCAGCAGCCGCGGUAAUACGUAUGGACCGAGCGUUGUCCGGAAUCAUUGGGCUUAAAGGGUACGUAGCGGCCUAGUAAGUUAGAAGUUAAAGAAUAUAGCUCAACUAUAUAAAGCUUUUAAAACUGCUAGGCUUCGAGAGAUGGAAGGGAAAGUGGAAUUCCUAGUGUACCUGGUGAAAUGCGCAGAUAUUAGGAAGAAUACCGGUGGCGAAGCGACUUUCUGGUCAUCAUCUGACGCUGAGGUACGAAAGCGUGGUAGCAAACAGGUAUUAGAUACCCUGGUAGUCCACGCUGUAAACGAUGAGUGUUAGGUUCUUGGAAUAAUCUGGGAGCCGCAGCUACGCAUUAUACCAUCUCCGCCUGGGAGUACGCACGCAAG